UACGUAGGUGGCGAGCGUUGUCCGGAUUUACUGGGCGUAAAGGGCGUGCAGGCGGUUUGUUAAGUGCAGGGUGAAAGCCCCCGGCUCAACUGGGAGAGGUCCUUGCAUACUGGCGAACUCGAGGGAGGCAGAGGAAAGUGGAAUUCCCGGUGUAGUGGUGAUAUGCGUAGAUAUCGGGAGGAACACCUGUGGCGAAGGCGGCUUUCUGGGCCUUACCUGACGCUGAGACGCGAAAGCGUGGGGAGCGAACCGG
rnacentral:rRNA from 1 species